rnacentral:rRNA from 1 species
AGGGCCCAAGAAGGCGCUGGAGAAUCCGACAAGAAGUGCGCCGGCCGGGGAGGACGCCGCGGCAAGGCCAAGCAGCGGCAAGGAGACAGACCUCCCCGCGGCCGCGACAAGGAUGAAGACGACGACGACGACGAAGACAUGGAUGAUGUCCAGACCAGUGAGCAGGAGUUCCAGAAAGCCACAGAGGACUUGUGCGUUGACGGCGGUGCUUCUUUGCAUACUUCGCACCGCCAACUCAAGCAGUGGGUGUGGGAAGUCAAUGCGGCAGAACCACCUGUCGAGUCACGCAAGCUUCUGAAAUGGUCCAGCACACCUAUCAUCUUUGAUAUUGAGGACCACCCUGAUCGCACAACU